AGACAGGUGGUGGCAUGGUUGUCGUCAGCUCGUGUCGUGAGAGUGUUGGGUUAAGUCCCGCAACGAGCGCAACCCUUGCCUUUAGUUGCCAGCAGUUCGGCUGGGCGACUCUAAAGGGACUGCCGGUGUUAAACCGGAGGAAGGUGGGGAUGACGUCAAGUCCUCAUGGCCUUUAUGACCAGGGCUACACACGUACUACAAUGGCCGAUACAAAGGGCAGCGACACUGCGAGGUGAAGCCAAUCCCGUAAAAUCGGUCUCAGUCCGGAUUGGAGUCUGCAACUCGACUCCAUGAAGUUGGAAUCGCUAGUAAUCGUGGAUCAGCAUGCCACGGUGAAUACGUUCCCGGGCCUU
rnacentral:rRNA from 1 species